AAUCAACGCUGGCGGCGCGCUUAACACAUGCAAGUCGAACGAGAAAGCCGGGGCAACCUGGUGAGUAAAGUGGCGUACGGGUGAGUAACACGUGGAUCAUCUACCCUGGAGUGGGGAAUAACGCUGGGAAACCGGCGCUAAUACCGCAUAAUCCCGAGAGGGCAAAGGAAGCAAUUCCGUUUCAGGAGGAGUCUGCGGCCGAUUAGCUUGUUGGCAGGGUAAAAGCCUACCAAGGCANCGAUCGGUAGCCGGCCUGAGAGGGCGACACGGCCACACUGGCACUGAAAC
rnacentral:rRNA from 1 species